AUCGCUUCUCGGCCUUUUGGCUAAGAUCAAGUGUAGUAUCUGAGUGAGACUCUAGAACAAUAAAAGACUUUUUGGUAAAAACAAAUAAAAUCCAAAUGAAGACUUUAUAUAUAUAUGUAGACUUUGGUUGAUGACAAUAUAUCAAUAAUUGUUCAUUAAUU
rnacentral:snRNA from 1 species